CCUACGGGUGGCAGCAGUGAGGAAUAUUGGUCAAUGGGCGCGAGCCUGAACCAGCCAAGUCGCGUGAGGGAGGACGGCCCUACGGGUUGUAAACCUCUUUUGCCGGGGAGCAACGGGCGCCACGUGUGGCGUCCCUGAUAGUACCCGGAGAAAAAGCAUCGGCUAACUCCGUGCCAGCAGCCGCGGUAAUACGGAGGAUGCGAGCGGUAUCCGGAUUUAUUGGGUUUAAAGGGGGGUUAGGCGGAUCGUUAAGUCAGUGGUCAAAUUGAGGGGCUCAACCCCUGCCCGCCAUUGAAACUGGCGGUCUUGAGUGGGAGAGAAGUAUGCGGAAUGCGUGGUGUAGCGGUGAAAUGCAUAGAUAUCACGCAGAACCCCGAUUGCGAAGGCAGCAUGCCGGCUUCCGACUGACGCUGAAGCACGAAAGCGUGGGGAUCGAACAGGAUUAGAUACCCCGGUAGUC
rnacentral:rRNA from 1 species